ACUCUUCAACUCCCCAAUUUCUUGUAGAUUGUGUGGAUGUUUGGAUUUUGAAUGUUGCUGGCUCCUCGGAGCGAAGCUCGUUCGUAAUACAUUAGCAUUUCUAAUUCGAAUUCGGAUUGACUCAGUGUAAUAGACUAUUUCGCUGAGGACACUAGCAAUAGUGGCCGUAUUCAAUACAAGAAAAGCUUCUAAUCCCAUUAGUCACUUUUGA
rnacentral:misc_RNA from 1 species